AGGUGAAACCUGAAAAGGUAAUAAGCCAGGAGCCCAAACUAUGGGAAUGUCAAUCAGGAAUGAUAACACAUCUGUUACUUAACUCCUCCCUGUUUCAGUUCCCUCAUCUUAAAUUAAGGAUAAUCACAGUACCUCUCUCAUAGGAUUAUAGUGAAGACUGAGCAAAUAUGUGUAAAAUACUUAGAACAGUGCCUGGCACACAGAUUCUAAAACUACAUGGAUAAUUUCUUUGCAAGAAUUUAUCUUUGGAAUAAAAUUCCACUUCCAAGUAUACAUAAUUGCUGUGUAAGACAAAGAUGGCCUAUAGUAAAUCCCUUUCUCCAAUGUCCAGGGCUGUGGACUGGACUUUCAAACUUUAGAAAGCAUUGAACACCUGGAGUGACUGUGAAAAUACAGAUGGAUUGAGUGCAUCCUCAGAUGUUCUUAUUUCACAUGUCUGGGUGAGCCCUUGGGAAUGUGCAUUUCUUACACUUUCCAGAGAUGCUGAUGCUG